rnacentral:lncRNA from 1 species
UUUUUUUUUUUUUUUUUUUUUUUGAAGUCAAAGAACACAGUACCAGCAUUCAUAACAUGAAUUCAUAAUAAAAAUGGAACUCUUCUGCCACUCUAAAAUGACAGGGUCAUGCAAAAAUCAACACCUGAGCAAUUUGUUAUUUUUCCCUUUCCAUGAAUCAGAAGCCCCAGACUUCAAUGCCCACCCAGACCAGGCAAUUUACAUAAGUGAUUGCAGGGCUGGGUGCAGGGAGGUGGGGGCUUAGUGUAGUAGAGAGUGUACACCAGUCCCAAAAGCACAUUCAUUCUCCAACCUGUAAAAUCUGUGCUGCCCAAACAACACAUUCUCCAGGAUUAGGUUUGCCCAAAGACUAGAUAUAGUGGGCCAUUUUGCAUUUUGAUGUAAUUAAAUUAGUCAGAAGAGCUUAAGAAGAGAAUAUUCUCUCAACAAGAGUUUUGCUUAAAAGUCCAAGUCAGGUGUACCCUGAAGGAAAUAAAUAUCCCUACUUUCCACCCCUCCCCCCAAAAAAAGGCAAACACUAAUGGAUCAUAACACUAAUGGAUCACCAAGCAUUUAGUUGACAAAACUACAUAUAUGAACAGUUGUUCUACUAUUUAGUUGUGAUGUUUAUAGCAACACCAGUUAUAUGUUGCUUCCAUGCAUUAGUUAUUUAAAAAAAAUUUUUUUUAAUUUGAAGAGGAAAAGGAAAAUAAUAAUAAUCUACAUACAUUAUGCACUUUGAACACCUGGGAUGGUAAGAAAUUUUUCCAAUGUCAAUGUAAUAUUUAUUUGCUCCAUAAGGAAUCAAAUGUGAAAUAAUGUCUUUGUUAAAGCUUAGAGUCCUGCAUUGACUUUAGCGCCAGAUACUAUCAAAUAUAACCCCAGUGGUUAGGUCUAAAGAUAUAUGUUUUCCAAAUGAAGAAAGUAGAGAAUUAUGAUGACUUACUUUUCUGUAACAGGUCACACAGGCUAUUACAUAUACUAUCUAUUUUCACUACAGUGAUCAGCUAUUAUCAUGAUCUCUGAAGAUGGUUAUUAUCCACAUUGACAAAGAUACUGACGCUCAAGAAAAGUCAAAAGACUUGUGACAGAGAAGGCUCGAAAACUCCAUCUCAGCCACAUAGGUUUUGACUUUCCCUAAAUGAUAUUAAUUUCCUAAGUUUGAAGGAAAAAUACUGGGCUCAUGACCCUUCUUCAAUGUUUGGGUCCCUAUUUUUGGUUAAUGUUAUUUGUAAAUAAAGUUAUGGUCACUGCAGCAAGUUUAGACUCAUAAAGAAAUGCUUAUAUAUAGAUAUCAUCAACUCCUUGUGGUCUUUCUUAAAUUUAAACCUAACACAACCCGUGAGUCAAGAGACACUGCUCUAUUUCCUUAUGCCCCUUUGGCAGACUAUGGUUAGCAGUUGUGCAGGAGAGGAUAGUGACCACUGAAGAGAAAGGAAAAUGGCAGCAGGUGUCCAGCUGCUGAGGUUGGCCCAGAAGAGUCUGCGUGGGUUGAUGGAAAAGAGUGGGGCUGAUUAUCAAAGAAGCUGUCAGCCCCACUUCCUUUCCAGGGGUUCAGAUACAUAGUAAUAGAAGUAAUAACAGUAAUUGCCAACAGCUUUUGGUCUUAAAAAACCUGCCACCAUGUUCAUGGGGAACCCAAAUCUCACCUUUAAUUCAGUAGGAAAAAAUCUCUUAUCCCUUCAUAGAUAUGAAAAAUUUACAGAGACCUCUCUGAUGAUUUCUGAGUUUUCUCUCAUUUUUCAUCAUAUUUCUGCCUUUCCUUCCUUCUUCUCUUAUUAGCUUCAAAUAUACUGUUUUUUUACAUAUUUUCUUACAAUGUGAAUUUUAGUUUCAUCUAUUUCAUUAUGCUUAAUAUUUAAUCUUGCACAGAUUAAAAUUUUAUUGAUAUUCUUAGAAGAAAUUUUUUCAUAGAGUCUUGCGUGAAAAACUAAAUACCAUAAAUAGAUGCUAUACUGAGUGGCUAAAACAUGUGUUUUAGAGUAACAUUGUCUUUAAUGCAUAACCUAUUUCUGAUAUUUCUCUUUUUUUUUUUUUUUUUUGUCUUUUGAGGGCCACACCCACUGCAUAGGGAUCUAAUCGGAGAUGUUGCCACCUGCCUAUGCCACAGCCAUGGCAACACUGGAUCCUUAACCCACUGAGCAAGGCCAGGGAUCAAACCUGCAACCUCAUGGUUCCUAUUUGGAUUCAUUUCCAUUGCACCACAGUGGGAACUCCUGACACUUCUUCUAAGUCCAAGUUUUUGCCACUUAGUAACCAUAUGACUUUAGUUACUGAAACUGCCUAUGCCUCCUCUCUAAUAUGGCAAUAACAAUACAAUUUUCUGAGAACUAAGAGCCUAGAACAUAAAGCACUUAGAUCAAUGCCUGAUACAUAGUAAAUUGCUUUAAAUGUUUGUUAUUAUUACCUUUAAUAUUGGUGUAAAUUCAUGUAAGAUACUCGAACUUUCCAAGAUUCAAUUUAUUCAUCUGAAAAUUGGAAUAAAAGUAAUUCCUUCUUGGGGUGUUGUAUUUUCUAACUGAUGUAAUCUACGUAAAGCAGAGUUUCUGGAAAACAUGUUCAUCAAGACAGUGUGCUCAGUAAGUGAUGCAGUUUCCAUGCAAAUGUCAGACUUUGAUCUCCUCAUCUCCAAAGGUCUUCACCUCCACCUCACCUCACUAACUUUCCUUUACACUCAAUCCUGGACUUUGCCACCACCUGGAAGAAAAGGUCUCUGGAGUUUUAGAAUUCAACAUCCCCACUCUUUGGUCACAGUUUUCUUUGCCCUGUCAUUGAUCUGUUGAUAAAAUUCUGAUUUAGCUCUAGUUUUCAGCUUCCUGCCCUCACACUGAGGCAGCUAAGUGCUCAUGGAGACAGCUACACAGUGGCAGAGACUGGAGCCACCAAAAAACCCAUCAUUUCCUAUUAACUGGGACCUUAACAGUGCCUCAAGUUCUUUUUAUUCUCCAAGUCAGUGCUCUCCCUUAUGCCUUUUGGUUUUAUUCAAACCAUCUCCACUUUCUGUAAACCUUCCUCUUGGCUCUUAGAACAUAAUCUACUUAGUAAAGACAUUAGAUGUUUCCAAGCAAGAACUACACCAGUAUGAGGACAGGUGAGUAGACAAGUACUCAAGUCAUUUUCUAGGGAAGGUGACCUAGCCAUCUCCUCCUUGUACAUUUGCCUGUCUGGAGUCUGGGCUCAUUCUAUAGCUCUCAGAUGUGAAUUCUAACCUCGUUCGCAGAUAGAAAAUGCUGCCCCCCCCCCAGUCUCUGGUUCAAGAGAGCUACUGUUUCUUAUCUGAAUUCUUAAUCUUUUCUUCCUUUUUUUCUCAAGAAUUUUCUCCAUUCAUUGUCUCUUCUCUUUACGACAGGCUCUUUUCCAAUACAAUUGAAAAUAUAAUCAGUUUUUUCUGAUAUUAACAGGGAAAAAAGCCCUUCCUCAGCAAAGUUAGGAGGGCCACAAACCCUGUCCCUCUUUAUUCACUGAGUCCUGCUAACCCUACUUUACUAGCAGUGCUAGAUUUCAAACCAAUCUGUCCUUCUUCAUUGUAAUUAUGUCUCAUCAUCAUUUCCAUUUCAAUUACUGCCUAUAAUCUUACCUCCACACUGGUCUUCCUGCUUCCAGGUUCACUCCUCUCUAGUACAUUCUUUGCCUUCUAAUGAAACUACUUUAACUAAAAAUAAGUUCCUAUCACUCCCCUUUUAGGAUCCCACUAAUGACAUUCCACUGCCCACAGAAUAAAGAGCAAAGGCCUCAGCAUGCCAAGCCAGUUUUACUUCCUAUAACCUCUGCUUAUUUUUCUUACUUCAUCUCUCACCAUCUCACCCUCACCCUUUGGCUUCAUUCGGACUCCACCUUUUGCAGCUUCCUGAAUACCCUGUUCUCUACCUUAGAGCUUCUGUACUUGCUGUUCACUCUGCCUAAAUGUUCCUUUCUCCUCCCAACCUAUCUACCCCAAAUUCUCUUUCUGUUCUCAGCUUCAAGCUCACCUCCUCCAGGAAGCCUUCUCUGAUUUCCUAAAAUUGAGUUACUCUAUGUUCUCUAAUAAUGCCCUACUCCUACCUUUAUAUUCUCCAAAGAGGCAGUGCACAGUGUUGCAAUUGCCUGUCAGCUCUCCCUGGUCAUGGACUCCUUGAGGGUAUGGAGAGUGACUUGAGUAUUGCUAUGUCCUUAGUAUGCUGAACAGUGCUGAGCACCAAGCAAGUGCUCAAAACUACUUGAUUUGAAUUGAAUAUCUUGUUUGGAGAUCUGGGCCUCAUAUAAUCUGCACUGCAUGUCUGUGUGGCCUCUGUAUCUGAGCGCCUUUCCUUAUAACCUGUUUAGGAAGAUGGUCUCUGGGAGUCAGUCUACGCCUUAACCUUGCCAGUUUCUUCCUCUGAGCCUUGGACCUUAUCCAACAGCACAGUUUUGGUAGCUGGUGCUAUCCUUCUUAUUGACGAACUCUUUUGGUAUUAACUACUGGCUUCUGCAUUUCCAAGGCAGUUUGGGAUGGUGAAAUUAAUCUUGGACUCUAAUAAAAUGAGUGUAUUAUAGUCACUGUCUAAUUCAAAGAUUCAAUAAAUACUAAUUUCCUUUAUCUUUAACCUUCCUUCUUCUGCAUUUUCCUAGAUAACACAUCCUUCUUAAAGAGACAUACCACACACUUCUUUAUAUUCUCAGAUUUUGCAUAACAAACUGGGUCUGACAGGUUUACACCCUGACUCAGUAAAUGGGUUUAGACUAAGUCCUGACCUUCAAAAUUGUUGGUUCUACAAGUUUUAGUUAAUAUAGAAUUG